UUUGUUUGCAUAGACGUUCAACUUUGUAACUUCACCUUAGUCUCUGAGGGCCACAGCUUCAUUUACAUGAGGUGAACACAAAGUGGCCAAUGGGAAAUCUCUAGGGGGUAUUUGGACCUGAGAAGAUUCUAUAUCCAGGCCCUUGAGCUGCUGCCGCUGCCGGCUCCCACACUGUGGAGUGUACUUUCACUUUCAAUAAGUCUCUGCUUUUGUUGUAUCAUUCUUUCCUUGCUUUGCUGUGUGUUUUGUCCAAUUCUUUGUUCAAAAUGCCAAGAACCUGGCCAACUUGGAGUCAAGACCCUCUACCGACUCAUUUGUUCUAGAUUCAGAUCAUUCAACAAAACAUGGCAUGAUUUCCACAGUCUCUGACAUUCUGAUUGCAUUGCUUGAGAAAAUUCUCAGUCUGGGAAUCUCCUUAAAAUGCAGCACAGAUGAUGGCUGAAUAGGAACAGCUCCGGUCUGCAGCUCCCAGCGAGAUCAACGCAGAAGGCGGGUGAUUUCUGCAUUUCCAACUGAGGGUGUAACACUGUGACCAACGAAGAGAGUGUUUUCUAUCAGUGACUCGCAGACUUCCCUUUCACUGGAAUCCAGCUUAUUAGCUGCAUGGUUAACUUUGGAGCCAGGAAAACAUCCUGCACAUGACACUGCCAUCAAGCAGAGGAGACAUGUUUCUCGGCUUCCCCUCUCUGGGACUUAAUAGCCUCUGAAGGCUAGCCUUUACUGACUCAUGAAGCUGUGUCUGCCUGGGGUCAGUGGUGGAGACAUUGCGUUAACCCCAGCAAGCGAGCCAUCACCAGAGCUUUGCACAGGGAGACACCACAUAGAAAGGCAGAUGAGGCAACACACACACCAUCCCCAGACAGCCAUGGGUCCCCAGAGACAGGAAAAAUAUGUGUUUUCUUAAAGAAUUAGAAAAGAAAACCUUGCUUUUUCCUGUGUGGCUCAUUGGUAGGAGAUCUCAAAUUCUAACCCUUGUUUUCUCUUUUACCUCUCUGUCUGCUAAAAAGCACUCCUUAGAUCCAGUAUCUAGCAUGGUGAGCCUCCUGGAUGCAGUGCUGCAGUGGCCACUGCUGGGUCAAAAACAAACACUGGGAAAGGAGGAAAAUGAUGUUUUUCUCUCUUUCAAUAAAGCAUUUGAAAUCUCUAG
rnacentral:lncRNA from 1 species